rnacentral:tRNA from 1 species
AAAAGUUUAGUGGGUUACUACGCUUGGCUUCGAAUCAAGAAAAAAUGACUUUUA